rnacentral:lncRNA from 1 species
UAUAAACACUGCAUGGAAGAAGUGUGGUGUGCAGUAUCUCCAGGAGCUGGAUCUAGUAGGCCUGGGAAGAGAGAGGAAAGACAGAGGAGAGAGACAGAUGCUGUCACCAGUUUGCAGCUCUGGAGAGGUGCUACCUGUCCAAAGACAAUCCAGAGGCCUUGGGAAGAAAUAGAUGGUUUCCAUCCCUGAAAUGACCACCAAGAAGGCACACCCAGGCAACUCCUCUCUCACCUUAGACCUACUGAGAAUCUCUGCUGGUUCUGCCACUUAAAAUGGACACUUCAGUGCAAGAAGAAUCUUCUGAGUCUGAUGUAAUUGGUAUGAUGAUUACAAGAAUGGUUUCAAAGUUUAUGUCUUGUCAAAACCAUUAAGUUGUACAAUUCUAAUGAUUGAAAUUUGCUAUAUGUAAGUCAUACUUGAAAAGCUUGCUAAAAAAUGAAAUAAAACUAAAACAAAGAGAAUCCUUUAUUUAGAGCCCC